rnacentral:rRNA from 1 species
GGUUAAGCGACUAAGCGUACACGGUGGAUGCCCUGGCAGUCAGAGGCGAUGAAGGACGUGCUAAUCUGCGAUAAGCGUCGGUAAGGUGAUAUGAACCGUUAUAACCGGCGAUUUCCGAAUGGGGAAACCCAGUGUGAUUCGUCACACUAUCAUUAACUGAAUCCAUAGGUUAAUGAGGCGAACCGGGGGAACUGAAACAUCUAAGUACCCCGAGGAAAAGAAAUCAACCGAGAUUCCCCCAGUAGCGGCGAGCGAACGGGGAGCAGCCCAGAGCCUGAAUCAGUGUGUGUGUUAGUGGAAGCGUCUGGAAAGGCGUGCGAUACAGGGUGACAGCCCCGUACACAAAAAUGCACAUGCUGUGAGCUCGAUGAGUAGGGCGGGACACGUGGUAUCCUGUCUGAAUAUGGGGGGACCAUCCUCCAAGGCUAAAUACUCCUGACUGACCGAUAGUGAACCAGUACCGUGAGGGAAAGGCGAAAAGAACCCCGGCGAGGGGAGUGAAAAAGAACCUGAAACCGUGUACGUACAAGCAGUGGGAGCACGCUUAGGCGUGUGACUGCGUACCUUUUGUAUAAUGGGUCAGCGACUUAUAUUCUGUAGCAAGGUUAACCGAAUAGGGGAGCCGAAGGGAAACCGAGUCUUAACUGGGCGUUAAGUUGCAGGGUAUAGACCCGAAACCCGGUGAUCUAGCCAUGGGCAGGUUGAAGGUUGGGUAACACUAACUGGAGGACCGAACCGACUAAUGUUGAAAAAUUAGCGGAUGACUUGUGGCUGGGGGUGAAAGGCCAAUCAAACCGGGAGAUAGCUGGUUCUCCCCGAAAGCUAUUUAGGUAGCGCCUCGUGAAUUCAUCUCCGGGGGUAGAGCACUGUUUCGGCAAGGGGGUCAUCCCGACUUACCAACCCGAUGCAAACUGCGAAUACCGGAGAAUGUUAUCACGGGAGACACACGGCGGGUGCUAACGUCCGUCGUGAAGAGGGAAACAACCCAGACCGCCAGCUAAGGUCCCAAAGUCAUGGUUAAGUGGGAAACGAUGUGGGAAGGCCCAGACAGCCAGGAUGUUGGCUUAGAAGCAGCCAUCAUUUAAAGAAAGCGUAAUAGCUCACUGGUCGAGUCGGCCUGCGCGGAAGAUGUAACGGGGCUAAACCAUGCACCGAAGCUGCGGCAGCGACACUAUGUGUUGUUGGGUAGGGGAGCGUUCUGUAAGCCUGUGAAGGUGUACUGUGAGGUAUGCUGGAGGUAUCAGAAGUGCGAAUGCUGACAUAAGUAACGAUAAAGCGGGUGAAAAGCCCGCUCGCCGGAAGACCAAGGGUUCCUGUCCAACGUUAAUCGGGGCAGGGUGAGUCGACCCCUAAGGCGAGGCCGAAAGGCGUAGUCGAUGGGAAACAGGUUAAUAUUCCUGUACUUGGUGUUACUGCGAAGGGGGGACGGAGAAGGCUAUGUUGGCCGGGCGACGGUUGUCCCGGUUUAAGCGUGUAGGCUGGUUUUCCAGGCAAAUCCGGAAAAUCAAGGCUGAGGCGUGAUGACGAGGCACUACGGUGCUGAAGCAACAAAUGCCCUGCUUCCAGGAAAAGCCUCUAAGCAUCAGGUAACAUCAAAUCGUACCCCAAACCGACACAGGUGGUCAGGUAGAGAAUACCAAGGCGCUUGAGAGAACUCGGGUGAAGGAACUAGGCAAAAUGGUGCCGUAACUUCGGGAGAAGGCACGCUGAUAUGUAGGUGAAGUCCCUCGCGGAUGGAGCUGAAAUCAGUCGAAGAUACCAGCUGGCUGCAACUGUUUAUUAAAAACACAGCACUGUGCAAACACGAAAGUGGACGUAUACGGUGUGACGCCUGCCCGGUGCCGGAAGGUUAAUUGAUGGGGUCAGCGCAAGCGAAGCUCUUGAUCGAAGCCCCGGUAAACGGCGGCCGUAACUAUAACGGUCCUAAGGUAGCGAAAUUCCUUGUCGGGUAAGUUCCGACCUGCACGAAUGGCGUAAUGAUGGCCAGGCUGUCUCCACCCGAGACUCAGUGAAAUUGAACUCGCUGUGAAGAUGCAGUGUACCCGCGGCAAGACGGAAAGACCCCGUGAACCUUUACUAUAGCUUGACACUGAACAUUGAGCCUUGAUGUGUAGGAUAGGUGGGAGGCUUUGAAGUGUGGACGCCAGUCUGCAUGGAGCCGACCUUGAAAUACCACCCUUUAAUGUUUGAUGUUCUAACGUUGACCCGUGAUCCGGGUUGCGGACAGUGUCUGGUGGGUAGUUUGACUGGGGCGGUCUCCUCCUAAAGAGUAACGGAGGAGCACGAAGGUUGGCUAAUCCUGGUCGGACAUCAGGAGGUUAGUGCAAUGGCAUAAGCCAGCUUGACUGCGAGCGUGACGGCGCGAGCAGGUGCGAAAGCAGGUCAUAGUGAUCCGGUGGUUCUGAAUGGAAGGGCCAUCGCUCAACGGAUAAAAGGUACUCCGGGGAUAACAGGCUGAUACCGCCCAAGAGUUCAUAUCGACGGCGGUGUUUGGCACCUCGAUGUCGGCUCAUCACAUCCUGGGGCUGAAGUAGGUCCCAAGGGUAUGGCUGUUCGCCAUUUAAAGUGGUACGCGAGCUGGGUUUAGAACGUCGUGAGACAGUUCGGUCCCUAUCUGCCGUGGGCGCUGGAGAACUGAGGGGGGCUGCUCCUAGUACGAGAGGACCGGAGUGGACGCAUCACUGGUGUUCGGGUUGUCAUGCCAAUGGCACUGCCCGGUAGCUAAAUGCGGAAGAGAUAAGUGCUGAAAGCAUCUAAGCACGAAACUUGCCCCGAGAUGAGUUCUCCCUGACUCCUUGAGAGUCCUGAAGGAACGUUGAAGACGACGACGUUGAUAGGCCGGGUGUGUAAGCGCAGCGAUGCGUUGAGCUAACCGGUACUAAUGAACCGUGAGGCUUAACCUUACAACGCCGAAGG